ACAGUUCCUGACAUCCCGCUGGAAACCAACACAUUUCCACUUUGCAUCAGUCCACCUCCGAUGAGCUCGGCCCAGAGAAGUUGGCGGCGUUUGAUAUACGGCCUUCACUUUGCAUGAUUCACAUCAUUGUCUGGCUGGAUGUCUUCUGUUGUGACAAAGGCGUUAAGGACGAGCCCUCUCCCUCAGUGACCCCAACAGGCCUGUUGAUACACAAAGAAAGAUGAGACUCUGCAGCUUCCCCGUAGUAAAUCAUCACAGGGACAAAGGCCUGGUGUCCUCUGACCUUUAAUCUGUUGUUCUAUAACUAAAUGGAUCUGCCUCUUUAGAAAACGGCUUCACCACUGAGCAUCAUAGUGUGCGAGCUGCUCUUUAUGAAGGGCUGAUGAUAAAUCGUUGCAAUUGUUCUCUGGUUACUUUCAGUAAAUCCACUUCUGGCGUGACUUCUGCUCAGUUCCUGUCUGUUGUGACUACAUUUGCAUGCAUGCACCAUGACUAAAGAUUUGUUGAAAUCAAUCUUCCCAUAACUCCCAGUCUCGUUCCAAUGACUGGAAUACAACCAGCGAGACUUUUUAUGUCUGCAGAGUUGUUAUUCUCAUCGCUAAUAAGAAUAUGUCAACCACAUUUUGCAAAGUUGAUAUUUCAUGUUGAUGCAAACAAGAGAUCAGGUUAUUUUGACUUGUAUUGAAGCACGUUGGCAGUCGAUCUGCUUCAAUAUCGACAUGCUGAACCCCUUGAACAUUCAGGGCUUGGACGAGGAUCUGUGGACAUUUUUAUUCAACCGUAAAGAAAAAAAACGGCGCUUUGUUGAUUAAACAAGUUUAAUUUUACACCCUAGGCACGCUGUCGUAUCUUUAAACAAAGAAAUGUGUGUGUGCAUAGUGUUUGACUGCUGGAACACUGCUAUUUGCUUUUGACCUGUGCCAGUAAAAAUUAGCUCUGAUACAACUAUCAGCUCCUUGAACGCACCAGCAACACAAACAGUGAGAUACAUGUAUCUGAGGAAAAAGGAGCGGGCAAGAGAACAGAACAAAGCAAUGUUUCCGUGCUAUACAUCAGAUUCCCUCUCAUUACUCCAAACCCAGAUAUUUGCAGGGUUUCACACGUCCUUCAUAAAGCAGUGUGGUUUUGGUUUUCUGUGCCCAGAUGGGGUUUCUCCCUCUUGGCCCUCCAUGUGAAGAGGGUCCCGAUCCUGCAGCAGGAUUAGUGGUAAUGGUGCUUUUGCCA